rnacentral:rRNA from 1 species
GACGAACCGUGCGACCGUUGUUCGGAAUCACUGGGCUUAAAGGGCGCGUAGGCGGGCAGCUAAGUCAGGGGUGAAAGCCCACGGCUCAACCGUGGAAGUGCCUUUGAUACUGACUGUCUCGAGGGAGGUAGGGGCGUGCGGAACUUCCGGUGGAGCGGUGAAAUGCGUAGAUAUCGGAAGGAACGCCGGUGGCGAAAGCGGCGCGCUGGACCUCUUCUGACGCUGAGGCGCGAAAGCCAGGGGAGCAAACGGG